rnacentral:lncRNA from 1 species
GGCCUCAGCUGGUCAAGGGGCAACUCUAGCUGCGUGAAAGUCGGCCAGAACAUCACGUCUGCCGAACUUCCUUGGUCCACCAGAACUCGGUGAACCUUCCUCCCCGCCGUGAUCAACGAAAUAACAAUGGGAUCGUUGUCGUGAGGCACAACGUCCCGAAGAUCCUGCUUGGUGAACGUAAUGUCCACUUCGGGCGAGUGAUCUUCAAACAUGUCCACCGACAUCACCGAUCGCGCGUACUUUUUCCUCUGCGAUGCGGUGCAUCCACCACCUGAGAAACCCCC